UACGUAGGGUGCAAGCGUUGUCCGGAAUUAUUGGGCGUAAAGAGCUCGUAGGCGGCUUGUCACGUCGACUGUGAAAACCCGGGGCUCAACUCCGGGCCUGCAUUCGAUACGGGUGGGCUAGAGUUCGGUAGGGGAGACUGGAAUUCCUGGUGUAGCGGUGAAAUGCGCAGAUAUCAGGAGGAACACCGGUGGCGAAGGCGGGUCUCUGGGCCGAUACUGACGCUGAGGAGCGAAAGCGUGGGGAGCGAACAGG
rnacentral:rRNA from 1 species